UUGACCUCAAAUCAGGUAGGACUACCCGCUGAACUUAAGCAUAUCAAUAAGCGGAGGAAAAGAAACUAACAAGGAUUCCCCUAGUAACUGCGAGUGAAGCGGGAAAAGCUCAAAUUAAAAUCUGGCAGUCUCUGGCUGUCCGAGUGUAAUCU
rnacentral:rRNA from 1 species